AGCCUUCCUGCUCAUUCCUCCUUUUCUAAGGCGGAUCGACUGAGGAGGAUGAUGGGUGAUGAAGAGCCAGAGGUAGCACCGAGUCGCAGUCACGUGUCGGCCGACGACCUCCAUGACGGCUUCAUCCUGGACAAGGAUGACAAGAAAACUUUAGCCUAUCAGGAUGGCAAAUGGAACCUUGACGAGGAGCCAGUUGAAAAUGGAGCAAAAGGUGAAGAGGAAGAAGAAGA